AGAGAGAGAGAAAGAGAGAGGGAGGGAGAGAGAGUCCCAAGCAACUCCCUGCUCAGUGCAGAGUCCAAUUUAGGUCUGGAUCCCAGGACUCUGAGAUCAUGACCUGAGCCAAUACCAAGAUUCACAGGCUCCAUUGGGUCAGGACUGCAUGUGUCCCUCCCGUUAGAUGCGCCCCCCCCCCCACCCUUCACAGGGGAAACCUGAUCAGUGACAGCACAACAGGACCUAUCUCUUUCCCAGGAGGGUCAUUCUCAGGUUAUGGAAACACAGGCAUCAGGGAAGCCAGAGGUGGGAAAGGAGAGGUUCACCCAGAGACCAGCAGGGGGCACUGUGACACUGUGUCUGGGGGUUUCUGCAGGACGGGGGCUUCCAGCUGAGCAGUAUUCUCCUGACAGAAAGCAAGGACUGGGCCCCUUGCCUCCAGUGGGGCCAGGGCAGGUAUGUCCGCUCAGGACCUGAAGGAGUCCCUGGACCUGGGGUUGUGUGUGGUCCCCACAGCUGCUGCUUCCAGGCCCACCCAGGGGGAACGCAGUGCAUCAGGAAGUCUCCGUGUCCAAGGGCCACAGACCCUGUGUGUGCACAUGGAGAAGAGGGAGGGGUGGGUCUAAUUUGCAUGAGCAGCCCCUCCUCUGUGACCCUGUGGACAGGGGAUAAGACAGGCCAGGGGCAGUCCAGCCCCAGCUCUUCGGCCUAAGAAGGGGGUGUGUCACCAUGGCCUGGAUCCCCGUCUUCCUCGUGCUCCUCUGUCACUGCACAGGUUCCCAGUCCCAGCCUGUUGUGACUCAGCCAGCCUCCCUCUCUGCAUCUCUGGGAGCCACAGCCAGACUCACCUGCACCCUGAGCAUGGACAUCAAUGUUGGAGGCUACUACAUAUACUGGUACCAACAGAAUCCAGGGAGCCCUCCCCGGUAUCUCCUGUACUACUACUCAGACUCCAGUACACAGUUGGGACCUGGCGUCCCCAGCCGCUUCUCCGGAUCCAAAGAUGCCUCAGCCAAUUCUGGGCUUCUGCUCAUCUCUGGGCUGUAGCCUGAGGACGAGGCUGACUAUUACUGUGCAAUCGGGCACAGUAGUGCUGGUCACAGUGACACAGACAUAUGGGGAAGUGGGACAAAUAUCUCAGCCUGCUCACAUCCCUGCACUCUGACCUCUUCCAGUUGAAAAUAACUUGAAUGCACACUGACUGUCUUUGGAAGUAGCUUCUAGGUCACAAUACCCUUCCUCCUCCCAGUGUCCAACUCAACUUCUUUGUACUGUCAUGAAAACAAACAAGCCAACAAACAAACAGGCAUCAAAGAAACCCACGACAAUGCCGACA